CCUACGGGAGGCAGCAGUGAGGAAUAUUGGUCAAUGGACGAGAGUCUGAACCAGCCAAGUAGCGUGAGGGAAGACUGCCCUAUGGGUUGUAAACUUCUUUUAUAUGGGAAUAAAACAGGGUAUGCAUACCCUCUUGUAUGUACCAUAUGAAUAAGGAUCGGCUAACUCCGUGCCAGCAGCCGCGGUAAUACGGAGGAUCCGAGCGUUAUCCGGAUUUAUUGGGUUUAAAGGGAGCGUAGGGGGAUGGUUAAGUCAGUUGUGAAAGUUUGCGGCUCAACCGUGAAAUUGCAGUUGAAACUGGGAGUCUGGAGUACAGGAGAGGUGGGCGGAAUUCGUGGUGUAGCGGUGAAAUGCGUAGAUAUCACGAAGAACGCCGAUUGCGAAGGCAGCUCACUGGACUGCAACUGACGCUGAGGCUCGAAAGUGUGGGGAUCAAACAGGAUUAGAUACCCGUGUAGUC
rnacentral:rRNA from 1 species